GCAGGAAUUAGAAGAGAUCUGCCAUGACCUAGAGGCCAGGGUGGAGGAGGAGGAGGAGCGCUGCCAGCACCUGCAGGCGGAGAAGAAGAAGAUGCAGCAGAACAUCCAGAGCUUGAGGAGCAGCUGGAGGAGGAGGAGAGCGCCCGGCAGAAGCUGCAGCUGGAGAAGGUGACCACCGAGGCGAAGCUGAAAAAGCUGGAGGAGGAGCAGAUCAUCCUGGAGGACCAGAACUGCAAGCUGGCCAAGAAAAGAAACUGCUGGAAGACAGAAUAGCUGAGUUCACCACCAACCUCACAGAAGAGGAGGAGAAAUCUAAGAGCCUCGCCAAGCUCAAGAACAAGCAUGAGGCAAUGAUCACUGACUUGGAAAGCGCCUCCGCAGGGAGGAGAAGCAGCGACAGGAGCUGGAGAAGACCCGCCGGAAGCUGGAGGGAGACUCCACAGACCUCAGCGACCAGAUCGCCGAGCUCCAGGCCCAGAUCGCGGAGCUCAAGAUGCAGCUGGCCAAGAAAGAGGAGGAGCUCCAGGCCGCCCUGGCCAAGUGGAAGAGGAAGCUGCCCAGAAGAACAUGGCCCUCAAGAAGAUCCGGGAGCUGGAAUCUCAGAUCUCUGAACUCCAGGAAGACCUGGAGUCUGAGCGUGCUUCCAGGAAUAAAGCUGAGAAGCAGAAACGGGACCUUGGGGAAGAGCUAGAGGCUCUGAAAACAGAGUUG
rnacentral:lncRNA from 1 species